CAGAAUGUAGCUUAUAAUUAAAGUUUUUUAUUUACAUUAAAAUUAAGAUAUUAAAUUUAUUCUUUCUGA
rnacentral:tRNA from 1 species